rnacentral:misc_RNA from 1 species
GUAUAAAGUUUCUCGACGCUUUUUAGGGCGAGGAUAUGAUUAACAUUCUAUGUGACAUACAAUUGUGUUGAUGGAUGAGACGUAAGGACCCCCCGUUACAGGGGCCUUACAUUAGGUUCACAGGUGUGUGUGGAUUAAGGGCUCGGGCGUGCACGUGCCCCGAAAGGCCAGCUACAACCCUCACCGGUAAUUCGAUAAUGAUCCUUCCGCAGGUUCACCUACGGAAA